UUCAAUUCUCUCUUAUAUUUGUCAUAUGGUAUUAGAGCCUCAUUUGUUCUAGGGAAUCAAUUGUUUUUAUGUUUUUAUAAUCCCGUCUUCGAAUCACCAUGGCAACAUCCUCCUCUUCACCUAUCAUUAGCCCAUUAAACUUACCACUUCCAACUUCCCCUGCUGGCGUGCCCAAUUCAAUUGCUUAUCCUUGGUUCAGUUUGACGACUUUGAAAGUUGAUUCAGCUGGAUAAGUUAAUUCUGAUGAUUUCAAUUUUCUUUGUCAAUGUGAUAAGGAUAACUUAUAGUUCUCAUAUCCAUCUGGAUUAGCUAGCUUUGAUUUCCCAAACCCUACCAAUCAAACAAAUGGUAUAGCUUCAGCAUCUGCAGUUUUUGUUUUCUAAUUAUUUUCUAUGUAUAGCUUGAGUUCAGACGUACGAAUACCCUAGAUGGUUGUGGAGCAAUCAUCUUGGUUCUCACUUCUUACCUCUGAUUAAUAUAUGCACAGCUGACGUUGUUUGGAGAUAGCUAUUAAUACCCAGAACAGAACACAUAUAUACCUGGUUCUUACUUCGACAUCCAAUCUGAAAAGCCAUAAAAUGAAAAGUCUUAGGUAAAGUCCCGUUUCUUCCUUUUGCUUGAUCUUCACAUCAGCCAACAUGCCUUCUCGCUGUGGAAUUUUCUGUGAACUCCCGAUCACGAUUUUGCUCCCUUCCCUGGGGGUUCGCUUAAGGCACGGUUGUUGCAGCAUCAGUAGUUUUUCUGUCUUCCAUCUUUUUGGAUUAUCAUGUUCGAGGUUUCGAUUUGAUUCAAUGAAUUUUGGGUUUGAUGGUUUUUGCAGGAAGAGUUCUGCAUUUGUUUGACAUAUCUGGGAUACAUACGUGGGAUAAUCUAGUGUCUGUUUAUAACUUGCAGGUGCCAGUCUGCUAUUUGUUUGUUUUCUGGAAUUUGGCUGAGACGGUACUUGUGAUACCAUUAAAUAGGAAGGAUUAUGAGGGUAUGCAAGGGUUGAAUUUUCUCUGUUAACAGAGAGAAUGGAGGUGAAAGGAGUGAAGAUUAAGGUUCUUGGAAAGGGAUCAUAAGGUGUCGUACAUUUUAUGAAAACAAAAAUUCCCACUUCUCAAUUUUAUGCUGUACAAUCUGCCGAUGGAGCAAUGUCUUCUUCUCUUAGAACGAAGAGGAAAUCCUUCAACAGUUUAUUGAUUCCCCCAUUAUUAGUGUGCAAGAUGAAAGAAGCCUCUACAACAUGUUUCUUGAAUAUGCUUCGGGAGAAAGUCUAUUGCAUUUGAUGAAGAAAGUAUGACGGUUAAAUUAAAUACCAAAACGAGAUGCUAAAUGUUACGCACAGAUGACACUUGAAGGCCUUGUUGAGAUUCACUGAAAAGGAUACAUCCAUUCUGAGUCCAAACCAGAUGAUUAAUGGGAGAUUGCCAUGGGCUUAUCGUAAUCUAAUGGAUUUGAGGGACAAGCUUUUGUGGGGAGAGUCAGCAAACAUCUUAGAAAACAUGUCAAGCAUGGGUAAGGAUUUCUUAAUGAAGUGCUUU